GGCACUUUGGCGGAGUGGUUAACGCGAUGCCCUGCUAUUAAUUAAAUUGAUGGACUAGGCAUUCCCUUCGGGGGCGUGUGUUCGAAUCACACAGGUGUCG